GAUGAACGCUAGCUACAGGCUUAACACAUGCAAGUCGAGGGACCGGCGCACGGGUGAGUCACACGUAUCCAACCUUCCCUUUACUCGGGGAUAGCCUUUCGAAAGAGAGAUUAAUACCCGAUAUAAAGGAUGGGGAUGCGUUCCAUUAGGUUGUUGGUGAGGUAACGGCCCACCAAGCCUUCGAUGGAUAGGGGUUCUGAGAGGAAGGUCCCCCACAUUGGAGAUGAGACACAGUCCAAACCCGUACGGGGGGGAGCGGAGAGGAAUAUUGGUCAAUGGGGGUUAGCCUGAACCAGCCAAGUAGCGUGAAGGAUGAAGGCUUAUGGGUCGUAAACUUCUUGUAGAUAAGAAUAUGUAUUAUAUGAAUAAGGAUCGGCUAACUCCGUGCCAGCCGCCGCGGUAAUAC
rnacentral:rRNA from 1 species